AAUCUCCAAGACCUUGCACAAAUUUGUGCAAGGUCACACAUAUCAACCUCAAAUCACUCCUUUUAUCCGUGCAACACCGCGAAUCCCGCCAGAACCUUCCCAUUUUGUCGCUACAAUUCAAAAUUCCCAAAUCAAAACCUUAGACCUAAAUCGUGCAACCUAAAAUCAUUUGUUCUCUCUUCGGCCUUCAAAUCCAGAGCAUGCAUGGAUAUUAUCUUCAACUUCAUUAUCAUUAUUCGAUGUCUAGAGGUCAAAUGCAGUGACCUCUGGACAUUAGGGUUGGACUAGCGGUCUGUUGGCUUCAACGAUCUUCUUCCUUCAUCCGCAUGCUCAGGUAAGUCUCUGCUAUUUUCCCCUAUAUUCGUUUUUGAUUUCACCGUGUUGCUAUCAUCAUCUAUCAUUCGUCAUUGUCCACUAUCUAUUUUGAACCGAUCGGAACCCCAAGUCUUGAAGACCACUAUAAAUACAACAUUAAAUGCUCUCACCUAACAGACACCAACAUACAUCAAUACACACCUAAUACUACUGAUCCAUACACUAAAAUAAUUAAAAGUUCAAGUCUACUAAGAUUUAUACUUGCACUCAUAUGCAAUCUUGACCCUCCACAGUGUUAUGUUGUACUCAAAUGAGCAAUCCUCAUUAAAGGACUUGGUCUUGUUUCCUCAUGUUAAUCUACUUUGUUUAAGUGGCCCCAGACUUGAUCAUUUUUCCAUGAGGUUACUUAUCAUGACAAUCUGUGUACAUGAAGACCAUGAAUUGAACUCUGUUUGUGUAACUUGUUAAUGAAUUCACUUAUCUGUUUAAAAAUGAACUUACUGUGGUAUGUUUGUCUUGUCCUAGCCAACUAAGAUUUAUACUUGCAUUCAUAUGCAAUAAGAUUUAUACUUGCAUUCAUAUGAAAUCUUGACCCUCCACCGUGUUAUGUUGUACUCAAAUGAAUAAUCCUCAUUAAAGACUUGCUCUUGUUUUCUCAUGUUAAUCUACUUUGUUUAAGUAACACAAGACUUGAUCAUGUUGCUAUAAAAUUACUUAUCAUGACAAUCUGUGUACAUGAAGAUCAUGAAUUGAACUCUGUUUGUGCAACUUGUUAAUGAAUUCACUUACCUGUUCAAAAUGAACUUACUGUGGUCUGUUUGUCUUGUCCUAGCCAACUAAAGAAUAGACAUCUUUGUCUAUUACUCCAUGUUUGUCUAAUACCACUAUGCAUAGAAGAACCUAACAAUGAGUUGGAGUGCUAUUUGGUCCUGACGGUUUGAAAACCUAUUGACCAUCCAUUGUUACUACUAGAUAUCAUAUGAUUAGAAAAAAAAAGACUUUUCAUGUUUACAUUGAUGUCUUUGUCACUUGCUAUCAUCUCUAGGAAGUUUGAACCAAGUUGUUAGUGUAGGUGUUUAGUGAAAUAAGGUUUCAGCUAUGUGUAUCUCUAUUCUGGAUAGUGUAGGUGUUUAGUAAAAUAAGGUUUCAGCUAUGUGUAUCUCUGUUCUGGACUGAUUUGAGGAUUAUUGAAAUAUGUGUUGACAUGUCCUAAGUAUUAUGAAUCGUGUGUAAUGAACUUGAAUGUGUUAAACCUUCACUAGAGUUAAUAAAGUUAAUGUACAUGUCCUUCCAUGUCACCUACUAAUGCUUGGAUCACUUAACUAAGUCUCUCUGAACUUGAAUUGAUAGCACUUACCAACUGAUAAUAUGCAAUUAGCCUUCUGCUUAAUAAUGAUCCUCCUAAGUAUUCUAAUAUAUGUUAAGAUUAACCUUAAAGUCAUUGAUAUUAAUGGACUUCAUCAUUUCACUUGCUAUGAUUUAUCUCUGUAUUUAGUGUUCUGAUAAGGGAUUUUAAGGUCAAUAUUGUUGUUGGUUCUAAAUUGUUCAUGUCUUGGUAUUUUGAUGAUAAUGCAGCUUCUUCUAUAGCUAUUUGUAUCAAUGUAUUGGACUUAUGUGAAUCUGAGUUUUUAAGAAGCUUAUUAUGAACCUUGUGCUUAUUUCUAACAAUGUAUGAAAUUCGUAAGUUGAAACUUUACUUAUGUCUAAGCCUUUGAGGAAGAUUAAGAGUAAAUGGAUAAGGGUAUUUAGGUGCGAACUUGGAUUGUGGAUAAGGUACCCCUCCCUGACACAAGCACUGCUCGGGGUCCAUGAGACCCUUGUGAACUCUGAACUGCUAGGGGUCCACAGGGGAAUUUUAUCCAUGAAUAAAGUUUCACUCUAAAUCUUUGGUCAGUAACUCUUAUUAAUCCUCAUAGGAUUAAUGCAAGUAAAAUUGGUCCCAUUGUACCCCUCAACCCUUUAUAAUUACUUGUUAUAAUCUGAUUUUUCUUAUUCCACCUUACAUCGAUGUAUACUAAUCAUCCUUUAUUCCUUUUGUAUGCAGGAUUUGAACUGGGCAUGAUGAGUUCGUUUGGAACUCAGGCUCAAUUCUAGACUUUGGCUGCCUUUCCCGAAUAUUGGAGUCUGCCGCUGUUGAUCUAAACCUGUUGGGCCUGGUUUGCUUACCAACCCAAUCGUCCAAGAGUCCAACUCUCUUUUCCUUUACCUUAAAUAAUAUUCGUUGUUGU
rnacentral:lncRNA from 1 species